CCCAAAGGUGCUCUUACUCCAGCCAGUGUGGUUUUGGUUUUGGGGUUGAAGCAACAUUGGGUUCAGGCCCCAGCUCCAAUUAUCCUGGACAGUGGAAUUUGGAGCUGGGAGAAGGCAGGCUUGGAAGAGGUCUUAGCUAAUGGAAAGAUGGAACUGUGGCUACUCCCUGCUUAGCUCAUCUCAGAGGACGGGACAGGCCCUGCCUCUUCCUAGAGUGCAACCUUGUUUCCAGGAUGUGAGCUCAACAAAAAGGGUGGGGGUCCUUUUCCCACCCCAUCUGAGACAUUUUUUUUUACUUGCUCAGAGGGGCCUGCCAGCUCUUUUUCAGCCUGGAAUGAAAUGUUGUAAGGGAUGCAAGGAAAGGAGGCUUCCUGAGUUAUUGGCUGAGUGUGGUGAGAUUAGAGAGUAGAGAGGGUGCUCACAAUACUCUGUCAGUGCUGAAUAGUUUUGUGCUUGUUGAUAUGAGUAAUUUGCCCAUUCCUUCUUCUUCCAUCCUUCCAAGCUCUAUCCAUCCCUCCAUUAAUUUAUCCACUUUCCAAUCAAGUCAUCUACCCAUUCAAUUAUCCAUCUGUCUAUUCUUCCAUCCAUCCAUCCGUUAUGUUAUUUAUCCACACACCUUCCAUCCAACCAUCCAUCCAUCUAUUCUUACAUCCAUCCAUCUACAAACUCAAGGUGAGAACUUUUGCUGGGUCAGGCCCUGUGCCAGUUGCUAGGAUACAGAGACAAACAGUUCACCAUCUCUGCCCUGAAAGCCUUCCCAGUCUGGGAACCAGAUAUUCAAAUAAAUACCAGUGGCAAGUCAGCAAUAUCACAUUGUAAUGACUGUGAAAGUCAUUUCAUGAAUCCGGAGGAUUAACUGACUCCAACUCAAAUGAUACCUCCUCUAGGACACUUUCUCUGAUUCCACCAUGUGGCAUGGGAAUUUGACAGGCAGAGAAGAGAGCGAAGGGCAUUUCUGGCAGAUGGACCAAGCUUUGCCAAGGCCGGCACACUGCAAAUAUAUAGCAUGUUCAAGGGAAUGCAGCACUGUGGCUGCAGGGUGGGGGAUGGGCUGGAGGAGAAGGAGCGGUGCUAGGGCCCAGGCUAUGGAGGGCCUUGAAUGCCAGGUUAAGGCUCUUGGGCUUUCCCUGUGGUCCUUGAGGCACCAGGGAGCAGUGGGAAGCAGAGACAAGGCCUGCUCAGAUGUAUAUUUUAGGAAGAUCAUACUGGCUGCAUUAGGUGUUUUUGAGGCAGGCAUACCUGGGUUUGAAUUUGACCCUGCUACCUUGUAAUUUUGUGAACUUGGCCAAGCAAAUGAACUGUUGUGAGUCUGUUUCCUCUUCUCCAAAAUGAAGGUGAUAUUCUCCAUCUCACUGGGCUGUUUUGGGGUAUAAAUGAGAUCUCACCUGGGAAGUACCUGGCACAGUUCCUGACAGUUAAUAGAUGACCAGUAACUGCCUUGUUCUGGGUUCUGCUGGGACCCAGCUGGAACAAGAGCUUGGCUCUUCUGUUGCUGAUUCCAACUCAUUGUGUGUGUUUGAGACAGUCACUUAAUUUCCGUGGGCCUUAGUUUUCUUAUCCACAAAAUGGGUGUAAAAGUAACUGCCUGGUGGGAUUGCCAUGAGGAUUGACAAGUUGAUGAGUGUGCCUGGCAAGUUGGCUGGGCUGCAGGCACAGUGUGGGUAUCAGACUCAAAGAACCAGUGAUGCUCCAGCUUGAGACUUGGAAGCUGGACCAGUGACCCCAGGUGCUUUGGCAUGGGGCCACCCGAAACUGUUCCCACCCCCCGUGACCCUUCUCCUCCCUUCUACAACUGCUCUGGCCGCGGGAUCUGGCAGUCCCCAUAGUCACCCAGUCCCUGCCUGGACUCUCAGCUCCUCAUCUGGGACAGGACGGAGUAAAGCACCUCACUGGGAGACACAAGAAGCCUGUACUAGGGCUGGCAGAUGGAGGAGCCACUUGGCAGUGGGUCCUCUGAAGGGACAGAAAAGCCUGGCUGUUUACAUCAGGAAGGGUGGUGUCCAGGGGCUGGCUUAUCCAUGGGCACCCUAAGCCCAGGGCCUAUGGAUUAUGUUCCUUCCAAGAAUAUCUGAUACUAAAAAAAAAUGAUUGACUUCAAAUAAUGACUACAAAAUCAAAAUUAAUUGAUGUUUGAUUGAAUAUGUGCGCAAUGUAAUAUCAUGUCAACUUGUUAAAUUUGACUCAUCUUAGCUCCUAUGAAGUUAUGUGUAAACGAUAUUUGAGGUGGGAUGUAGAUGCAUUCUGAUGUGUUUAUUGUGAUGUGGUAUGACACCCUAGAGUGAGAGGGUUGUGGGGGGCCUAUGAAGAUUUAAAAACAGCUCUAAUGGUGCCAUGAGGAUGGGAGAUGCUGCCCACAUAUUCUAUUUUCUGACAGUCUUGCCAAUGCUUGCUGGGGAC
rnacentral:lncRNA from 1 species